rnacentral:rRNA from 1 species
UACGUAGGGUGCAAGCGUUAAUCGGAAUUACUGGGCGUAAAGCGUGCGCAGGCGGUUUUGUAAGUCUGUCGUGAAAUCCCCGGGCUCAACCUGGGAAUUGCGAUGGAGACUGCAAGGCUAGAAUCUGGCAGAGGGGGGUAGAAUUCCACGUGUAGCAGUGAAAUGCGUAGAGAUGUGGAGGAACACCGAUGGCGCAAGGCAGCCCCCUGGGUCAAGAUUGACGCUCAUGCA